rnacentral:rRNA from 1 species
GAUGAACGCUAGCGGUGUGCCUAAUGCAUGCAAGUCGAACGGUAGCUCUUGGAUUCGUCUGGGAGUGAGAGUGGCGGACGGGUGAGUAACGCGUUGGUGACCUGCCUCAGAGAGGGGGACAACCAUUGGAAACGAUGGCUAAUACCCCGGAUGUCAUACUAUUUGGAAAGGUAUGACUAAAGCGACGGAUUUAUCCAUCGUGCUCUGAGAGGGGCCAGCGUCCCAUCAGCUAGUUGGUAAGGUAAUGGCUUACCAAGGCAGAGACGGGUAGGGGGCGUGAGAGCGUGACCCCCCACACUGGUACUGAGACACGGACCAGAUACCUGCGGGUAGCAGCAGCAAGGAAUAUUGCGCAA